UGUCCUCCAUAGGAGGUCUAUGUUGAGCAGAUUUUUUUUGGUGUUGGGUGGUGGAACUGGAGCUUGCCCCAUCCACUCCAUGCAUUGACCUGGUAUUGCAGUGCUUCCAGGACCGGUGC
rnacentral:snRNA from 1 species